CCUACGGGAGGCAGCAGUAAGGAAUAUUGGUCAAUGGACGCAAGUCUGAACCAGCCAUGCCGCGUGAAGGAUUAAGGCCCUCUGGGUUGUAAACUUCUUUUAUAGGGGACGAAAAAAGGGCAUUCUUGCUCACUUGACGGUACCCUAGGAAUAAGCACCGGCUAACUCCGUGCCAGCAGCCGCGGUAAUACGGAGGGUGCAAGCGUUAUCCGGAUUUACUGGGUUUAAAGGGUGCGUAGGUGGGUUGGUAAGUCAGCGGUGAAAUCUUCGAGCUUAACUCGGAAACUGCCAUUGAUACUAUCAAUCUUGAAUCAUCUAGAGGUAAGCGGAAUAUGUCAUGUAGCGGUGAAAUGCUUAGAUAUGACAUAGAACACCAAUUGCGAAGGCAGCUUACUAUGGAUGUAUUGACACUGAGGCACGAAAGCGUGGGGAUCAAACAGGAUUAGAUACCCUGGUAGUCCACGCCCUAAACGAUGGAUACUCGACAUUUGUGAUAUACUAUAAGUGUCUGAGCGAAAGCAUUAAGUAUCCCACCUGGGAAGUACGACCGCAAGGUUGAAACUCAAAGGAAUUGACGGCUGAGAGAGCGAGACGACGACGAGGGAGGAGG
rnacentral:rRNA from 1 species